rnacentral:rRNA from 1 species
UACGUAGGGGGCGAGCGUUGUCCGGAAUCAUUGGGCGUAAAGCGCGUGUAGGCGGUCCGGUAAGUCCGCUGUGAAAGUCGGGGGCUCAACCCUCGGAUGCCGGUGGAUACUGUCGGGCUUGAGUACGGAAGAGGCGAGUGGAAUUCCUGGUGUAGCGGUGAAAUGCGCAGAUAUCAGGAAGAACACCCGUGGCGAAAGCGGCUCUCUGGAACGGUACUGACGCUGAGACGCGAAAGCGUGGGGAGCAAACAGG